rnacentral:rRNA from 1 species
CAGCCAGACUCCUACGGGAGGCAGCAGUGGGGAAUAUUGCACAAUGGGCGAAAGCCUGAUGCAGCGACGCCGCGUGAAGGAUGAAGUAUUUCGGUAUGUAAACUUCUAUCAGCAGGGAAGAAAAUGACGGUACCUGACUAAGAAGCCCCGGCUAACUACGUGCCAGCAGCCGCGGUAAUACGUAGGGGGCAAGCGUUAUCCGGAUUUACUGGGUGUAAAGGGAGCGUAGACGGCGAUGCAAGCCAGAUGUGAAAGCCCGGGGCUCAACCCCGGGACUGCAUUUGGAACUGUGUGGCUGGAGUGUCGGAGAGGCAAGUGGAAUUCCUAGUGUAGCGGUGAAAUGCGUAGAUAUUAGGAGGAACACCAGUGGCGAAGGCGGCCUGCUGGACGACAACUGACGGUGAGGCGCGAAAGCGUGGGGAGCAAACAGGAUUAGAUACCCUUGUAC